rnacentral:rRNA from 1 species
CUGCAAGACAACUAAUUUCUAUUACGUCAGGGAUACACUAGCUNGGUUGCUCUCUCCUUCUUCUCCUUC